rnacentral:rRNA from 1 species
AUUGAACGCUGGCGGAAUGCCUUACACAUGCAAGUCGAACGGCAGCACGGGGGCAACCCUGGUGGCGAGUGGCGAACGGGUGAGUAAUACAUCGGAACGUGCCCAGUCGUGGGGGAUAACGUAGCGAAAGUUACGCUAAUACCGCAUACGAUCUACGGAUGAAAGCGGGGGACCGUAAGGCCUCGCGCGAUUGGAGCGGCCGAUGUCAGAUUAGGUAGUUGGUGAGGUAAAGGCUCACCAAGCCGACGAUCUGUAGCUGGUCUGAGAGGACGACCAGCCACACUGGGACUGAGACACGGCCCAGACUCCUACGGGAGGCAGCAGUGGGGAAUUUUGGACAAUGGGCGCAAGCCUGAUCCAGCCAUUCCGCGUGCAGGACGAAGGCCUUCGGGUUGUAAACUGCUUUUGUACGGAACGAAAAGGCUCUGGUUAAUACCUGGGGCUCAUGACGGUACCGUAAGAAUAAGCACCGACUAACUACGUGCCAGCAGCCGCCGUAA